rnacentral:ncRNA from 1 species
GCUAUGGGCAAAACCUCGGUCUGACGAACAGAAACUGCAUAUAAGGCGUCGUAAAGUGGACGAGUUUGCAAUUCAAAACGAAGUCCGAUACUGCCCGAGCCUUGCGACGUAAAUGCAGCAGAUAUAUGAGGUGAAGGUCGU